CUCCCGCCCGCCCCUUCCCUGCCUGCUCCAGCCACACUGGCUUCCAUGCUGCUGCUUGUCCACGCCGCAUGUGUCCCACCUUGGGACCUUGGCCCUGUCUUUUCCCUGCUGCUUGAGACAAGAUUCCGCCAUACCUCCCAGCCUGUGCGGUCCGCCUUACCUGCCCCUCAUUUAACACUGCCAUCCUUGAAUGGCUCUCACAGGUUGCAUCUCUCUGACCUCUCCUGCCGGGUCUCUUUGCCUCCAGCCAGGGCAAGCUCUCUACUUUUAAGGGCCCCUGAGACUAGGCUCGGCCCCCCCAGAGGAUCUGAGGGGAUCUCUCCGCUUUAAGCUUCUGGAGGCCACCUGCUUUCCGAGCCUCGUGGCCCCUAGCUCCACCUUCAAAGCUGGGAGCAGCGCAUCUUCCAAUCUCGCCCUCUGUCCUGCUUCCCUUGUCACAAUCGCCUUCUGUAUCUGUAACCAUCCAACCUCCCUCCUACAAGGACUUUUGUGAAGACAUUAGGGCCCGUAAAGAUAAUCCAGGAUAAUCUCCCCUUCUCGAGAUGAGACCUUUAAGGUAACCACAUCUGCAAAUCCCUUUUGCUGUGUGAAGUAAGAUAUUCACAGGUUCUGGGAAUGAGGCUGUGGCCAUCCUUGCGGGGCCAUUAUUCAGCCUCCACGGGAGGAGAAAGAAUGCCACUCGGAUCACUCCCAUUGCUUGAGGACAGGGAAGAGGAAGUCAGGAAGCUGAAUCAGCAUGGGGUACGGCGGCAAGCUCAACACUGGGACAGAGAAGACAGCCACAUCAGCUCUGACCUGGCCUCCUCUGCCCUGGGGUUGUCCGUGUGUGGGGUCUGUUCUAGCUAAGUCUGGGGCUCCCAGUUGGGACGAGGGAUACUCCUGGAGGACAGACUGGCCCCUCGGUGAGAGGUUAGGAGCAGGGGCUCUCGCUUCAGAGUGCCAUGGUUUCAAUCCUGACUCUGCCAUCACUAGCUGUGUGACUUGGGGAGACUACUUAACCUCUCUGUGCUUCAGUGUUUACACGGACAAAAUGGAGUUGAAAAUGCUGAUAC
rnacentral:lncRNA from 1 species